UCUGAAGGAUGAGCAAAGAAAGUAGUUCCUUCAGGUGGAAGCUACUCUUGGUGAAGAUGCUGUGAA
rnacentral:pre_miRNA from 1 species